UACUGAGGGGGCAAGCGUUGCUCGGACUUACUGGGCGUAAAGGGCGCGUAGGCGGCCCGCUACGUCGAACGUGAAAUCCCCGAGCUCAACUCGGGAACUGCGUCCGAUACUGGUGGGCUUGAAUCCGGGAGAGGGAUGCGGAAUUCCAGGUGUAGCGGUGAAAUGCGUAGAUAUCAGGAGGAACACCGGUGGCGAAGGCGGCCCUCUGGACGGUGACUGACGCUGAGACGCGAAAGCGUGGGGAGCAAACAGG
rnacentral:rRNA from 1 species